ensembl:lncRNA
AAAUAAAAAGUAGGAGGCAGCUAUUAGAGAUGAAGAAAUACAUGCAAGAUUGCACUUCACUGAGAGCAAUGUGGAAAUGUGUGUAGCUGAUCGUGUUUCAUGUGAGGAUGCAGGAACGUGAAUAGUGGUAGGUCAGCAGGAAACAGCAAUUGUAAGAGAUGGCAACAAGAUAAAACAGCUAAUGGAGGUGAAAAGUGGCAGUCAGUCAGCACUGAGAGGCUCAUAACGGUCAGAUGAUGCUGAGCCCUGAUGUUUCUGAGAUCUAAAGGGGCUGUCAAGAGCUAUUUAAAGCCCAUGGGAAUUUUGUUUGUUUUUUUCCAACUGUAUGACUUGGGAAAUAAAAGCAGUUAG